GCUCAGUACGCAGUAAAUAAAUGCAUGUCUAGAUAGAUAAUUGAUAAUUGUGGAAAAAUCCACCUGCCUGCGCAUCUACAGAUCUGUGUGUAUACACUCGCUCCCUUUCCUAUCUCGCAGACCUCAAAAACCCCACAACCCCCCUACAAUACCCCACUAACUCCGCCAACCUCCUCCCCUCCCGCUCCUGCUCAACCUUCCACCGCGCCAACGCCUCCCGCAGCGCUGCCCGCGUAGUCUCUGCCUCGUUGUCGUCCCCACCACCAUCCCGAAAACCAGCACCAACACUCUCCCCUUCAACAGCAACAUCCCCAUGCACCCUCAAGAACACAGCCAUCCACGCAUUCACAAGCUCAAAGUCCCUCCUCGUCCUCAGCUGUGCGGUCAGCGCCUCCACGAACGCCACCAGCUCGUUCAUGCCCUGCUUGCGCCCGCUGAGCAGGCCCGGGUCGAGAGAGCGGAUUUCUAGAUCGGCUUUGGCGGGCGGCAGGGAUUUGAGGUACUCGAUGAAUGGCGCGUAGUGGUUGCUGUCACUGCUGUUACCGUUGUUACCGUUGUUACCGUUGUUGCUGCCGGAGGAGCAUGAGUGGAGGAGGGCGGUGAAAGUUGAGGGUUGCAUGCUGGGGUCAUUGGCGAGUUGGAGCUUGGCGAUCCGGGAUCGUUCGGCCGGCGUGGUCUUCUUGGUUCCUGAGCUGCCUUCUGCUGCUGCUGCUGCUGCUGCUGGUGCGGAGACGAGUUGCGUGGAGGAGUCGGAGUCAGGCUUUGAGAGGGUUGAAGGGAGGAAGAAUGGCGCUUUCUGCGGGACCUUGGGCGGUUCUUUGGGCUUGUUUCUUUCCUGU
rnacentral:sRNA from 1 species